rnacentral:rRNA from 1 species
UGGGGAAUUUUGGACAAUGGGCGAAAGCCUGAUCCAGCAAUGCCGCGUGUGUGAAGAAGGCCUUCGGGUUGUAAAGCACUUUUGUCCGGAAAGAAAUCCUUGGCUCUAAUACAGUCGGGGGAUGACGGUACCGGAAGAAUAAGCACCGGCUAACUACGUGCCAGCAGCCGCGGUAAUACGUAGGGUGCAAGCGUUAAUCGGAAUUACUGGGCGUAAAGCGUGCGCAGGCGGUUUGCUAAGACCGAUGUGAAAUCCCCGGGCUCAACCUGGGAACUGCAUUGGUGACUGGCAGGCUAGAGUAUGGCAGAGGGGGGUAGAAUUCCACGUGUAGCAGUGAAAUGCGUAGAGAUGUGGAGGAAUACCGAUGGCGAAGGCAGCCCCCUGGGCCAAUACUGACGCUCAUGCACGAAAGCGUGGGGAGCAAACAGGAUUAGAUACCCUGGUAGUCCACGCCCUAAACGAUGUCAACUAGUUGUUGGGGGAUUCAUUUCCUUAGUAACGUAGCUAACGCGUGAAGUUGACCGCCU